ensembl:lncRNA
AACACUGACCUUUGAGUGUCAGAAUGUGGGAGGGGCAAAUUUACAUUUUAUGCAAAUGGUAAGACGUGUUGAGAGUGAGAGGCCAAUAGGAGUGAGCGACACUAACAUCAUACGUCUGUGAUUGGUAUCGGAUAUCAUAAGGAGAUGUGCUGCGUUUGUCCUUUAACAGUUCUUUUUAACCAAUCGCUGUCUUCUGAUAUUGUGUGUGUGUGUGUGUGUGUGUGUGUGUGUCUCCUCCUACUAAUGAGUUUUCCUACUAAAGUUGAUUGCCACGAUUUUACUCAAAUCAUUUUAUUCUAAUUAUAAAUCCAUCAAAAGGCAUUUAUAGAACAGCAUAAACAGCAACCGUAUUCUUAUUGUAUUCUAAUUGUUUUUUAUUUAUUAUUAAUAUAAAGUUAUUUCAAGGCUGGUCGAGACAACCUUUUAACGUAGGACAAAGAUUUUUUUUUUUUAAACUCCGGAAUAUCGAGGCAGCCUCCAUCACUUAUUUCCGUCUUCCUUUUUUCCUCUUCCUUUAUUUUGAAGUAUAAUUUAUGCUUAGGGCUAGGCGCUUAUAUCGAUAUAAUAUCAAUAUACCGAUAAAUGAUUGCGCAAUACAUUUUUCUGGGAUAUCGUUGGUACGGUGAUUUAAAAAAAAAAAAAUGUUUUUAUUAAUUUAUUUUUAACGCUUUUAAUAAAUGCAAAUUAAAUGGUGCUGAAUGGAUGCCGUUGAUUUUGACGUAAUUACUCUUCUUUUUUUAACUUUUGUUUGUAGGCGUUACAGAAAAGUAUCCUCAAACUCAAAGUUUUGUUUUGUUUUGUUUAUUUCACUACUGUUUUACACACAGUUUGUUAGCUGAAUUAUAUUCCGUGAUGUGUAUAGUAGAAAUGUCUGAGUAUCGCGAUACGAUAUUUUUGUCGUACCGCCCAGCCCUGUUUACGCUUCUGUCCGAUCAUGGCGGAAAGGCACUCCGGAUGGGGCGGAGCGCCGUAGAUUGGAGAAUACUUUCUCCAAAACUGAAGCUUGUGCCUGCCCACCUCCUCUGUGAUUGGCUCAUAGAGUGGGGGGGGGGGGGGGGGGGGUUUGUUUAAAAAAAAAAAAAAAAGAGGUACGGAAACUGUCUGGAAAUCUAACUGUUGCUCUGUUUGACCAAAACGUCUGACAAGGAGCAAAGGAAGAAGACGCCAAUCCCUCUCCUUACACACGGAACGCCACGUCCUUCCAGUUUCGUCCAAAUCCACGUGUGAACAGCGUAAGAACCGCGUUAAUGCGUUUUUACUCGUGUGCGAGAGGCGGAGCUUUCUGAACUGUAACCUGAGUAGGGACGGGUCUCUGUCCUGAUCGGUUAGACGCUUG